rnacentral:rRNA from 1 species
GGAUUGCCCCAGUAACGGCGAGUGAAGCGGCAACAGCUCAAAUUUGAAAUCUGGCCCCUCGGGGUCCGAGUUGUAAUUUGUAGAGGAUGCUUUUGGUGAGGUGCCGCCCGAGUUCCCUGGAACGGGACGCCACAGAGGGUGAGAGCCCCGUCUGGCUGGCCACCGAGCCUCUGUAAAGCUCCUUCGACGAGUCGAGUAGUUUGGGAAUGCUGCUCAAAAUGGGAGGUAUAUGUCUUCUAAAGCUAAAUAUUGGCCAGAGACCGAUAGCGCACAAGUAGAGUGAUCGAAAGAUGAAAAGCACCUUGAAAAGAGGGUUAAAUAGUACGUGAAAUUGUUGAAAGGGAAGCGCUUGUGACCAGACUUGGGCGCGGCGGAUCAUCCGGGGUUCUCUCCGGUGCACUUCGCCGCGUCUAGGCCAGCAUCAGUUCGUCGCGGGGGAAAAAGGCUUCGGGAACGUGGCUCCUCCGGGAGUGUUAUAGCCCGUUGCAUAAUACCCUGCGGUGGACUGAGGACCGCGCAUCUGCAAGGAUGCUGGCGUAAUGGUCACCAGCGACCCGUCUUGAAACACGGACCAAGGAGUCGUCUUCGUAUGCGAGUGUUCGGGUGUCAAACCCCUACGCGUAAUGAAAGUGAACGCAGGUGAGAGCUUCGGCGCAUCAUCGACCGAUCCUGAUGUUCUCGGACGGAUUUGAGUAAGAGCAUACGGGGCCGGACCCGAAAGAAGGUGAACUAUGCCUGUAUAGGGUGAAGCCAGAGGAAACUCUGGUGGAGGCUCGCAGCGGUUCUGACGUGCAAAUCGAUCGUCAAAUAUGGGCAUGGGGGCGAAAGACUAAUCGAACCUUCUAGUAGCUGGUUUCCGCCGAUUU